CCCGCCGAACUUCAACAUAUCAUUUAGCGGAGGAAAAGAAACUAACAAGGAUUCCCUUAGUAACGGCGAGUGAACGGGGA
rnacentral:ncRNA from 1 species